AGUCUGUUUUUAAAAUUUUAGAGUAUCUGUAAAUAGUAAAAGUGAUACUUUUCUGAGAAGAAUGUUUAUUGAUAUUUAAGUAUGAAGAAAAUUUCAUUGAUUCAAUUAAGACUCGAAUUGGACCAAGGUUACCCUAUAUUGAGUUCGCUUACUUAUAACGCAGAAUCCUACUUAAAAUAUAGUGAAGAUCAGACAACAUCAAUUUUAACUCAUCAUCAAGAGAGUUACAAAGAGAUUCCUGAAAUACACCACGGAAAAAGAACUUUUUUACAGUACACAAUUGAAACUUAUGAUUUAGAUAUGGAAACUAAUAAGAAUGAUUCAACUAUGGAACAUCAAAAAGAGUCUGAUGAUGCAGAUAAAUGUCCUGUUCCUCAUACUGUUCAUUAUUUUUCUGGAAACCCGAAUGUUGAAGUCACUAGAGGAAUUAUGCACUUAUAUAAAGACAAUUGUUUAUCAACGUUAGGUAAUAUUGAUAUUCCAAGAAGUGAUACAAUAUGCAUGUUAGGUGUGCCAGCAAAGUACAGUUGUCAAGAUUUGCAAAACUUUAUUGCUCCCACAGGUGAAACUGUUAGACACAUACAAAUUAUUCGGGACGGCAAUGCAAAUCAAUACAUGGUACUUAUACGGUUUAAAGACCAGGAAAGUUCUGAUGCAUUUUAUCGUGAAUAUGAAGGAAAAGCAUAUAAUAUGCUUGAAGACGAGUGUACCCACCUAAUGUUUGUCUCAAAAGUGGAGUCUGUUGCAACAACAGGGAGUGGUUAUUUACCUGUACCUGGAUUAACUGAGCUUCCUAUUUGUCCUGUAUGUUUGGAACGUAUGGACGAAUCCGUUGAAGGUAUAUUAACCAUUUUAUGUAAUCAUUCCUUUCAUAAUAACUGCUUGAUGAAGUGGCAAGACUCAUGCUGUCCUGUGUGCAGAUAUGUUUUAACUCCAGAAGUGUCUGUUGAUCAAAAAUGUUUUGAAUGUGAUUCAAAUGAGAGUCUUUGGAUUUGUCUUGUUUGUGGACACAUCGGUUGUGGUCGAUACCAGGACUUACAUGCUUAUCAACACUAUCAACAAACAGCACAUACCUAUAGCAUGGAUCUUGGUAACAAAAGGGUCUGGGACUAUGCAGGAGAUAAUUAUGUCCAUAGACUGGUUCAAAAUAAAGGAGAUGGAAAAUUGGUUUCUCUUGAUAAUAGAGAGCAGGUUGAAGGUGAAAAAAUGGAUUCUUUGACUAUUGAGUACACAUACCUGUUAACCAAUCAGUUAGAGUCACAGAGACGUUAUUUUGAAGAGAAGAUUGAUUUUUUAGAGAAAGAUGCUUAUGAAAAGUUGUCUUUAAUGGAGUUAGAGGUUCAUAAUUCUCGCAAAGAGUAUCAUACUCUUGAGCAAAUGUUCGCUAUAAAUGAAAAAGAUAAGAAAAUGUUAGAAAAAAAGUAUGAAAAUGUUGUUGGUAAAUUGGCUAAUAUGUGUAAAGAACUACGUGAUGAAAAGCAGCUGAAUAUAUGUUUGCGUGAGAAUCAGGCUGUGUGGCAAAAAAAAGUUGAGUUGCUUGAAAAUGAAUUGAAAAAAUGUUCUACUGAAAAAAGUGCUGAAAUUUAUGAACUUCAAAACCAAGUUGCUGAUUUAAUUAAACAUUUGGAAGUCCAGUCUGCAGUGAGAAAUGCUAAUGAAGAUGUUAGGGAGGAUAUCCAAGCAGGUCAACUAUUUACAGAAGCCUGUUCUUCAUCUGGAAACGCAAGCAGAAAUACUAAGAAAAAAUCAAAAGCUCGAAAAAAAUAAUCAUAAAUGCUGACAAUAAAGGUUUUUAUGUCAAACUGAAUUUAGUUACAAAUGAUGUUUGCUUUAUAUACCAAUCAUCUUUGAACCUGUGAAAAUUAUUGAAAAAGAUUCUUUUGUCUGGUGUUCUAUUUUCAGAAAAAAAUAUUUAAAAAUCAGCAAAAAGAUUGUUUUUUAUCUGUCAGCCCUAGUACACAUUUUUGGCUUGUUUUUUUUUCUAUAAUGGCUUUCUUCCAUCAGAAGUUUCUGACAAUCAUUUAUGCAAUAUAUCAAAGUUUGUUUCACUUUUAAAAUUGAAAGCUAAAUACUCACAUGAUUUUUGUUGUUAUUGAUGCUUUGCGAGGUGAUUUUGUGUUAAAUAAAAAUGGUUGGUCUAAGAAUAUGAAUUUCACACUUGGCAAGAUAGCUUGUGAUGAGAAAUAUAGGUUGACACUAAUGUUACAAGACACGCUAAUGUUACAAGAGAGCUGAAACAAGAAGAUUGGAAUCUUAUGGUUUUUUUAUUAUCUUGGGCUUGAUCAUAUCGGACAUUUCGCUAUCUAUAUAGUUCAUUAUUCCCUGAAAAAAAUCAAAGAAAAGGAUAAUUGAUAAUGAGUUGAUCAUAUCAAACAUUUUGCUGGUCCUUAUAGUUCAUUAAUCCCUGAAAAACUAAAAAAAAAGAUAAUUGAAAGUUUAUAUAUUAGUCUUGUUUAACGUGACAAUAAACUUGGUAGUCAGAGUGUUUUAGUUGUAUGUGGAGAUCAUGGAAUGAGUGAAACUAGUAGUCAUGGUGGUGCUUCAUAUUUUGAAGUAAUGACCCCAUUUUUGCUUUUAGAUACAAAAGGAAAAGAACGACGGCUUCAACUCCAACAUCGAUUCAUCGCUAAUCGCUACUUUUCAUUCACUUGCUCCAUUCACUUACUAUAAUUGCAAAAACUUGAAUAAGUGGCAAAUAAUCUGCAUCUUUUUCAGCUUAUCAAAGUUUACAUUCUUCAGUCAAGGUAAUUCAAUUAAUUUUUCUACAAUUGAUAUAUCAUCUCAUAUGAUUGGUAUGUAUUAUAAUCAACCUAUUAUUGCAAAUGUACUAACAACUUGUUCAACUUAUUAUGGACAGUUAUUUUUGGUUGGUAAGCCUUGUUGAUUUUACUAAAAUGAGGUUAGUUUAUGGUUUAAAAAGUAUUCAUAAAUAUAUUUUUAUAUUAAAGUCAAUCAAGUCAAUGAGAAUAUAAAUGGUGCAACUCAAUUUUUACUCAAUUUUUUU